UACGGAGGGUGCAAGCGUUAUCCGGAUUCACUGGGUUUAAAGGGUGCGUAGGCGGAUAGGUAAGUCCGUGGUGAUAUCCUGCAGCUUAACUGCAGAACUGCCGUGGAUACUAUCUAUCUUGAAUGUCGUGGAGGUUAGCGGAAUAUGUCAUGUAGCGGUGAAAUGCUUAGAUAUGACAUAGAACACCCAUUGCGAAGGCAGCUAACUACGCGAUAAUUGACGCUGAUGCACGAAAGCGUGGGGAUCAAACAGG
rnacentral:rRNA from 1 species